rfam:Dipodomys ordii contig_31850, whole genome shotgun sequence.
UGGCUCAGUGGUAGAGUGCUUGCCUUGCAUGCAUGAGGCCCUGAGUUCAAUUCCUCAG